AUUGAACGCUGGCGGCAGGCCUAACACAUGCAAGUCGAGCGAGCGGCGGACGGGUGAGUAGUGUCUGAGAAACUGCCUGAUGGAGGGGGAUCACUUGUGGACACGGUAGAUAAUACCGCAACACAACAGAUGUGCCAAGAUGGGAUUAGCUAGUAGGUGGGGUAAAGGCACACCUAGGCGACGAUCCCUCGCUGGUCUGAGAGGAUGACCAGCCACACUGGAACUGAGACACGGUCCAGACUCCUACGGGAGGCAGCAGGGGGGAAUAUUGCACAAUGGGCGCAAGCCUGAUGCAGCCAUGCCGCGUGUGUGAAGAAGGCCUUCGGGUUGUAAAGCACUUUCAGCGGGGAGGCGUUACUCGCAGAAGAAGCACCGGCUAACUCCGUGCCAGCAGCCGCGGUAAUUC
rnacentral:rRNA from 1 species